GGUUAACAGGCGCAUUGAGCGGCUCAUCAACAAGCCAGGGCCUGAUACCUUCCCUGACUAUGGGGAUGUGCUUCGGGCUGUAGAGAAGGCAGCUGCCCGACACAGCCUUGGCCUCCCCCGACAGCAGCUCCAGCUCAUGGCUCAGGAUGCCUUCCGAGAUGUGGGCAUCAGGUUACAGGAGCGACGUCACCUCGAUCUCAUCUACAACUUUGGCUGCCACCUCACAGAUGACUAUAGGCCAGGCGUUGACCCUGCACUAUCAGAUCCUGUGUUGGCCCGGCGCCUUCGGGAAAACCGGAGUUUGGCCAUGAGUCGGCUGGAUGAGGUCAUCUCCAAAUAUGCAAUGUUGCAAGACAAAAGUGAGGAGGGCGAGAG
rnacentral:lncRNA from 1 species